GACGAACCGAGCGAACGUUGUUCGGAUUCACUGGGCUUAAAGGGCGCGUAGGCGGGUGAUCAAGUCAGGGGUGAAAUCCCCCGGCCCAACCGGGGAACUGCCUCUGAUACUGAUCGUCUGGAGGGGGAUAGGGGCACGCGGAACUUCCGGUGGAGCGGUGAAAUGCGUAGAUAUCGGAAGGAACGCCGGUGGCGAAAGCGGCGUGCUGGAUCCUUUCUGACGCUGAGGCGCGAAAGCCAGGGGAGCAAACGGGAUUAGAAACCCCCGUAGUCC
rnacentral:rRNA from 1 species